AUUGGGGAUGGUGUUCUUCAAAAUACAAAGAUUCUCAAUGAUUGCUGCAAGGAAUCACAAAAGAGAUCUUUGGUCCAAAGAAGACAUUUCUGAAAGAAAAUAGAACAUUAGUUAAAUUUAGCUGAAAGCUAAGAUAUAUAUUUAGUCUUUUCUGGGAUAAAAAUGGACAGUGAUUUCUAGGAUUUCAGAUAUGACUAUUUUUUUUAGGUGAUUAAAGUACAAAGAAUGAAAAGCAUGAGUGAGAGGACUUGCCACAGAAGCCACAAAGACCAAGAAGGCUUAAAUCCUUCUGGAGUCAUUGAGAGUGGCAGUGUGGGGAGAAGCAGCAGCUGGUUUCAACCUUCACUCAUUCCUCCCUAUUUUAUAAUGCUUCUGCACAGUGUCGGGGUGUAGGCACGUCAGUGGAACACACACUGGGACACUUCCUCCAAGGCAGCAGAGCCCACACAGAAGCAGUUUUCCACUGCAGGUCUUUUGGGGAGCAACUCACCAUUUUAGCUCUCCCUUUUGUUGGCUCUUUCGCUCUUUUUCUCCUUUCACCCUGGGAAUUAAAGGUAUGUACUCUGCAGUGUAAUUAACACUGGCUUUUAAGUGAGACCACAGUCCAAAAUAAUAAAUGAGAUUUUAAACAUUUGAGGUGGGUACGAGCCAUGUUGUACAUUUCAAGACUGAUAUUCUUGCAGAAGCCAUUGUAGAGAUGACAAAAGGCAAAUGCAUCACAGAUGCGGGUGAAACAAAAACAAAUGAAAUAAAGAAUAUGAACAGACAUCGAUUUUAUAAAUGAUUUUCUAUUCCUAAUUAGGCUUGAUACCACUAUGUUUGGUUACUGGUGUGUUUCACUCAUAUCUUUUGACCUUCUUAAAAAAGGAAAUCAUGAAGUCACUUCAAGGCACCCACAUUUCAGUUGCAUUAUGUGGCACAAUAGUUCACGGUAAGAGCCUAGUAGCCACCACACCUACAGUAACACCUGGCUUCUUGGCACAUUGUGUGCUGCUGGGAUCUUUCAUUACUCGUGACAAUGUGGCAUUCACCCCACAGCAUUCUACAUUGCUCUAUUUCUGAACUUGGCAUAUAACAGUUAUAAAAUGAGAUGAGCGGAUUAGGGAACCACGACACACAGCUCUGGGAACCCACUAAUGCCCAAUUUACUAGUCCAGGUAUGAAUGAUGGCUGUAAACUAGAACAGUACUCAAAAUGACAAAGGUAUGAGCAGAGAAUGAAUGAUUCUCUAACAGCUUAAUGCAGACAUUGGUUUGUUUUCAUAAUCUUAGGCUGGGUAUACACAGCUUGAUGAAAGCUUUGAAAAACUGAAUAUAAUUCUUUAUGAAAAUCAAAAGCACGACAAGUUAUGUUUUUUAAAAAACUAACUGUAGGGAACUGGAUAUUUUCAUUGCACCAAAUUAUCACCCCACUGAUGACCUGCUAAUUGACAAAGGGAAGAUGCAUCUCUCCAGUAAAGAGAGUGGCGAUUGCCACUACUUUAACUCAGGGAUCAAACUUGACAUCACCAAUAGUAGGGCAACCAGGCUUACUGAUGUCACUCUCUAUGUAGUAGAUAGUUUCAUGUAUGGAGUAUUCUUCAAAAUGUAUAGCCUGACUCUCAUCAAGACUUUAGAUCUAAAUUCCGAAGGAUAUGUAGAAGAUGGAAGAACAAGUUAAACCACCAUGAAAAAAAAGAUCCAAAAGUCCAGAAUUGGGGCAUUCUAUAAGACAACUGGCCUGGCCUCUUCAAAAAGUCAAAAGCAUGGAAAAGGGUGUGUGUGUCUGUGUGUGUGUGUGCACGUGUGCACAUGCACACACGCAUGCCAUCCUAUUCUAGAUUAUUAAAAGAAACGGAAGACAUAAUACAGUUGACCCUUGAAUGAUGCAGGGUGCCAAUCCCUGCACAUUCAAAAAUCCACAUACAACUUUUGACUCCCAGUUGAGCUUCAGUGUCCACAGGGGACUGGUUCCCGCACACCUAAAUCCACAGAUGCUCGAGUCCCCUGUGUAACAGGGUGUAAAACAAUGCAGAGUCUGCCCUCCGUAUUCCCAGAUUCCAAACCUUGGGAAAUACUGCUUUUGACUUUGGUUGGUUGAAUCCGUGGAUGUGAAACUCAAGGAUACGGAGGGCCGAUUGUAUAUUUACUGAAAAAAAACUAUAAGUGGACCCGCACAGUUCAAACCUGUGUUGUUCAAAAAUCAACUGUAAUUUUACAAGUUCUCCUCAACUGGAUUCUAAAUAGGAAAGAAAACUAUAAAACCAAGGUUAUAAUUUGAAUGUGAACUGGGUAUUACAUGAUACUAGGGAAUUAAUAUUCAUUUAUUAAGUGGGAUAUAUUGGAAUUAGGUUAUGUAAGAGGAAGUAUGCUGAAGUUCUUGGGGGUGAGUGACUUUAAAAUGAUUUGACAACAACAAAAUAUAGGUAGGCAGAUGAAGCAAAGAUGGCAAAAGGAUAAUUUUUAAUUAAAGGUAUUGGGUUAUGGGUGUUCAUUGUACUGGGUUUUUUUUUCUGUUUCUGUACAUGUUUGAAUAUUUUUAUGAUAAAAUGUUUUUAAAAACCUUACCUUUAUUAUUUAAGUUCUGAAAAUUGGAUGUCACAAAACUAAUUAGUUUCUCUCCAUCCAUUUGAACCUGAUUAACUUGCUGAAUUCACCAAAAAAUAAAAAUAAACAAAUAAAUAGAUUACUAAUAAUUAAAAAAACAAAACAAAACAAAACAAAAAACAAAAAAAAAAAACAAAGAAAACUAGGUAGAACAUGCAGCCCUCACAUCAAAAGUCAUCCACUGGCAAAAACAA